UACGUAGGGGGCUAGCGUUGUCCGGAUUUAUUGGGCGUAAAGAGCGUGUAGGCGGCCAGGUAGGUCUGCUGUGAAAACUCGAGGCUCAACCUCGAGACGUCGGCGGAAACCAUAUGGCUAGAGUCCGGAAGAGGAGAGUGGAAUUCCUGGUGUAGCGGUGAAAUGCGCAGAUAUCAGGAAGAACACCCGUGGCGAAGGCGGCUCUCUAGUACGGUACUGACGCUGAGACGCGAAAGCGUGGGGAGCGAACAGG
rnacentral:rRNA from 1 species